GGAUGAGCCCGCGGCCUAUCAGCUUGUUGGUGAGGUUACGGCUCACCAAGGCGACGACGGGUAGCCGGCCUGAGAGGGUGACCGGCCACACUGGGACCGAGAUACGGCCCAGACUCCUACGGGAGGCAGCAGUGGGGAAUAUUGCACAAUGGGCGCAAGCCUGAUGCAGCGACGCCGCGUGAGGGAUGACGGCCUUCGGGUUGUAAACCUCUUUCGCCAGGGACGAAGCGCAAGUGACGGUACCUGGAGAAGAAGGACCGGCCAACUACGUGACAGCAGCCGCGGCCG
rnacentral:rRNA from 1 species